AGCUUCCUCGGUGUUAUCGACUGUAGGCCGGCUCUGAUUGCCAGGUCUUUGUGGCUGAAUUCGGCCGAGCGCACUCCUCUGCCACCCGCACUCUCGCUUCAGGCGGCUGCAGAGGGACCCACCAUCGCUGAAAAUGCUAAAGAAAAGAAGCGCAGCGCAUCGCUGAGAUUUGGGGGUGACUUCCUCCAGACACUAAGGAUUUCUGCCCUCCAAGCCGCCCGCGCCCCUCCGCCCCCCGUCUUUCCUCUUACAAACCUCCCCUAACCUAAGAAGCAAGCGCUGAACUUAAUGCUUGACAAAAAUGGGUACAAAGUUUUCGCACAGCCUUUCCGCCCCCCGGGGACAGGAUCGAAAAUUCCGAGGGCAACAGGAGCACCGCUAGCGCCCGCUUUCUUUAAAUGCGGCUUCUGCGGAGGGCGGACGCUAUUGUCAUGGUAAAUUUCACUCGCUCAGGAAGAAAGGGUUGGUGAUCAAUCAAAAAAAAAAAAAAAAAAAAAAAAAAAAGAGGUAUUCCUUUGCGGCUCUGCCUCUGCCUCUUUCUUCCUAGACAGGGUGAAAGGCUUUUUACUAUUCUCGGUUAAAAACCAAAAACACAGACAAGGCUUUGGCGCGUGUGGGAGCCGAAAGCAGUCUGCGGAGACCCUGGGGGACGUCAGUGUGAACGCAGUGGGUAGACCCCACUCAGGACUUCCGCUGAAUUCCAGCGGGUGUAGUGGGAGAAGCAUCCCCGGGGAGCCGCAGGCUUCGCUGUCCCGACUGAGUUUAUCUUGGCCUGAGGGCAGCGUGCUGAGCGAUCUAACCCAGCAGGGAAGCUCCUCUUGCCUCCAUCUGGGUCAGGCACUUUAAACCGAAGCCGACUUGACCAUGCCUCUGGCGCGAUGAAGACUCCGGAGAACUUGGAGGAGCCUAGCGCCACGCCAAACCCCAGUAGGACCCCCACGGAGAGAUUCGUUUAUCUGGAAGCGCUCCUAGAGGGAGGGGCUCCCUGGGGCUUCACCCUGAAAGGUGGCCUGGAGCGUGGAGAACCGUUAAUCAUUUCCAAGGUAAGUUUCUGCUCUCAGUAUUGUCUGCAACCAACUUGUGGCUUUUUGUUUGUAGCUUUUAAGGUUGUGUCAGAUUUGUC
rnacentral:lncRNA from 1 species